rnacentral:rRNA from 1 species
GACGAACGCUGGCGGCGUGCUUAAUACAUGCAAGUCGAACGGAAAGGCCCCUUUGUGGGUUCUCGAGUGGCGAACGGGUGAGUAACACUUACGUAACCUUCCCUUGACUUCGGGAUAACUUUAGGUAACUGGGGCUAAUACUGGAUCGGAAUCCUUUCUUCAUGCUGGGGGUUGGAAAGUUUCGGCGGUUCUGGCUGUCCUGGCUGCUUAUCUGCUUGCUGGUGGGGUUGUGGAUUACCAAGGCUUUUUCGGGUAGCCAGACUGAGUAGGCGACCUGCCACAUUGAGACUGAGAUAAGGCCCAAACACCUAAGGGAGGGAGAAGGGGGGAAGAUUGAAGAAGGAGCGGAAGCCUGAUGCAGCAAGGCCGCGGGCGGGAUGACGGCCUUCGGGUUGUAGAACGCAUGCAGAAGGAGCGAAGCUUGUGGUGACGGUACCUGCAGAAGAAGCAACGGCUAACUACGUG